rnacentral:lncRNA from 1 species
GGAUCUCUAUCCCUAAUAGGAAGUGAUUUCUAGGCCAAACGGAGAUCCUAAAAUUUUAAAAAUCCUCGACAUGUACGGCCGGGGAUAAUAUUGAUGUCCUAAUCCUCAAUCUGUCCCGAUAAUUAUUUGCUUCUUUUUAAAUUAAUAAAUAUAUAAUAUAAUAUUUUGCUUUUUUUUUUUUCUUUCUCUUUUUUCUUUUUCCAAUUCUUCUAUUUUCUAAGUUGAAAAUGUAAAAAUAGAUUUUUUAAUUCCAGCUAUACAAAUAAAUUUUUUUUGGUCAUACUAAAAGAGGCCCUUGU